rnacentral:rRNA from 1 species
AUUGAACGCUGGCGGCAGGCCUAACACAUGCAAGUCGGGCGAGAGGCGGACGUAUGAGUAAUGUAUGGGGAUCUGCCUGAUGGAGGGGGAUAACUACUGGGAACGGUAGCUAAUACCGCAUACCAUCAGAUGAACCCAGAUGGGAUUAGCUUGUAGGUGAGGUAACGGCUCACCUAGGCGACGAUCCCUAGCUGGUCUGAGAGGAGGAUCAGCAAGCCGGGGACUGAGAAACGGCCCCGACCCCUACGGGAGGCAGCAGUGGGGAAUAUUGCACAAUGGGCGCAAGCCUGAUGCAGCCAUGCCGAGUGUAUGAAGAAGGCCUUCGGGUUGUAAAGUACUGUCAGUCGGGAGGCGUUACCGACAGAAGAAGCACCGGCUAACUCCGUGCCAGCAGCCGCGGUAAUUC